UACGGGGGGGGCAAGCGUUGUUCGGAAUUACUGGGCGUAAAGGGCUUGUAGGUGGCCAACUAAGUCAGACGUGAAAUCCCUCAGCUUAACUGGGGAACUGCUUCUGAUACUGGAUGGCUUGAGUUUGGGAGAGGGAUGCGGAAUUCCAGGUGUAGCGGUGAAAUGCGUAGAUAUCUGGAGGGACACCGGUGGCGAAGGCGGCAUCCUGGACCAACACUGACACUGAAAAGCGAAAGCCAGGGGAGCAAACGGG
rnacentral:rRNA from 1 species